GGGUUGUGAGGUUAAGCGACUAAGCGUACACGGUGGAUGCCCUGGCAGUCAGAGGCGAUGAAGGACGUGCUAAUCUGCGAUAAGCGUCGGUAAGGUGAUAUGAACCGUUAUAACCGGCGAUUUCCGAAUGGGGAAACCCAGUGUGAUUCGUCACACUAUCAUUAACUGAAUCCAUAGGUUAAUGAGGCGAACCGGGGGAACUGAAACAUCUAAGUACCCCGAGGAAAAGAAAUCAACCGAGAUUCCCCCAGUAGCGGCGAGCGAACGGGGAGCAGCCCAGAG
rnacentral:rRNA from 1 species